rnacentral:rRNA from 1 species
UACGAAGGGGGCUAGCGUUGCUCGGAAUCACUGGGCGUAAAGCGCACGUAGGCGGUUUGUUAAGUCAGGGGUGAAAUCCUGGAGCUCAACUCCAGAACUGCCUUUGAUACUGGCGAUCUCGAGUCCGGGAGAGGUGAGUGGAACUGCGAGUGUAGAGGUGAAAUUCGUAGAUAUUCGCAAGAACACCAGUGGCGAAGGCGGCUCACUGGCCCGGUACUGACGCUGAGGUGCGAAAGCGUAGGGAGCAAACAGG